GAAGACCCUUUUUCGCCUCUUAAUUUAUCUCCAUUUUAAGUUCUCAUAAAGGGUGGGUAAAUCUUUGCCUUCACGAGGGUUUUUCUCUGUAGAAAGGUGAGAAGGCCAAGUACAAAUAUAAUCGUAGUGUGGAAAGUAUAUCUUAGCCAACAUAACAAGCACUCCCUAAAAGAGCAAGGCAAAAUAAUGGUCCCCCAGUACAAAGUAGUCAAAGAAGCAUUCUGCAUAAGCAUAAUACUUGCAUGGGCAGAAUCUCCUCUAAAUGCAUUUAGCAAAAAGCGUUACAUGUAUACCAAAUGGGGCUUUUUAGUCCACGAAGCCCACGAUGCAUUUUUAUCCUUUUGAGCAUUUACAACAAGAAAAUGGGUUACCGCUACCUGCACCAUCUCACAUGACACUACUUAUUUCCAUCUGGCUUUUCUCUGCAAUUUUCAUAAUAAUCACUACAUCUACGUCUAGAUCUUCUGUUUAAGAACAUGGCGCAAUUGCACUUUCUGGCUCUCCCUCCUUGCCUCCAUAAGCUUUGCCUUCAAGCUGCUCUUAUGUGUUCCACGCGGCCAUUCAAUGCAACCUUUCAUUCCUCGACUUAUGUGAGGGUUACCAGAGUCAGGUGAACUCCAUUGCCCCACCAAAUCUGGGCUCAGUCCACCUUUACCUGACACAAUAUCUGGAGACACAAUGCCCCCAUUAGAUUUCCUUCCAUUAGAAGUUCUGCCGUUCAUACCAUCUACUGAGAUUAUAUUGUAGUUAUCCCCGUUGUUCGGGCAUGAUCUCCAAAGCUUUGCAAUGGAUGAAACCUUCUUCAGCUGUCUUGUUGGCACAGAACAGAGUUCGCUGAUUUCAGUAAGCGGGGUUUCAUCAAAUGCAUUCUCUUCCCAAUCUGUUCCACUCGCUGAGACGUUACUGUCCCGGCGAUUCCUGUUAACAGAUGGGAUACUUCCUUCUGGGGAGUAACUUGAGCCCUGAUCCUCGAGAUGGCUCACGGUUUCCCACCCACUCUCAUCUUCUUCUAUAUCACCGUUCUGGUCAACAAAUGCAUCAGAAUGCCUAUGGCUGCCAUCUUUGUUUAUCAGAUUCACUUCAGGACUCACAGUAUGAAUUUUUGCGGCAUGGCUGGCAGGACUGUAGGCAACACAUUGCUCAAUCUCCCUCUCAUUAGGAUCACCAGAAUUAAAUUCUUCAAAAACAGAGAAAAUAUCGUCUGGGUUAGGCGGCUCAUAUGUGAAAUCCUUUAUGUCCUGAAUAUUCACAGAGGCAGCAGCAUGUACAAGUGAUUCUACUUCUCUCAUUUCCUUCAAAUCUGGUGCUGCACUUCUGGAUCUUAGAAAAUUUUCUAAAUCUGCUACAAGCCUGUUCAUCUGAGAAUAUUUCUCUUCAAGUAACACCUUUGCAUCAACCAACUUCAUUUGAACACGCUCUUCGCGCCAUACCUCAGCCAUCUGCAACAUCUUCCUUUCUUCAUUCACUUCCUCCUGCAGUUUCAGUGAUUCCCUCUUUAAUGCUUCAACUUCAGCCUUGUCCUCUCCAAUUUCCUUAGCAAGCUCAUCGCAUACUUCCUCAACCAAUUCUCUGGCCUUUCUUUCUUUUUCAUAAUCCAGCAUAAAUCGCUUUGCCGAAACCUUCGCAUCAGCCAGCUCAUUAACCAAUUUGGAAUUUACAAUUUCCAACCUUUGGUUAUUUUUCCUUUCGCGGUUCAAAUCAGCUUUAAUGUCACCAAUAAAUGCACGAAUUUUCUCAUGCUCUCUGCUCCUCCAAGCAGCCUUUUCUUCACUGACUUUGUUCAAAAAGUGCUCCAGUUUCUUUUUUGAGGAUCGGCGCUCAGCCUCAAGCUCCUGAAUGUGUGUACGGGCCUGCUCUAGCUCAGCUUCAAGUGCAGAAACUACUGAUACAGCGGUAACUUGUUGAUCAAGACGCUUCAUGUGGCUGUAAAUCUGGCGAGCCUCAUCUAAUGUUUCCAAGCAGACAGGGUUCCACUUAGUUGCGCUCUCCAUUGCUGAGUUGGAAAACUGAAAGGAAGGUUCAAGCUAAAACAGAGGAGAGCAGGUGCAGAAUUAGAAUAAAAAACAUAAAAGUUACAGAGAACUACAUACAAGUACACAAAAAAAAUGCACAAUUAAAUUCUAUGGUUUCAAGAUUUCAUGGAUAACAAUAAUUUAUGUAUUAUCCCUUUAAUCUAGUGAUUGAUGAUAUUCCCCUUUGAAUAUAGACAAAAUUGACCAAACUUGUCAAAAGUUUAUCCAUGUUGAAUGUAAUGCUGAAUUCAUUUGAUAAGCAACCAACCUUUUCUUCUAUCUGAAUUAUAUAGAUUUUCCUAUUUUGAUAUAAAUUAUAUAGAUUUUAUUAAUAAUCCUUUUUGUCUAGAUAAAUGCUGAGUAUGUAAAUAUAUACGUGCAUCAAAGAUUACACAAUUACUGUGAUAUUGAAAUUUCCAAGGUGGAAAAAUGCUAAACAAGCACUCUAUUAACUUUGCAUUCUAGUCUUCCAUUGAGAAUAAGAUGCCUGAUCGUGACAGAAAAAUGACUUUGUUUAUAACCUAGAUGAUCUUCUUUAAAACAAUUAAACAAAUAUCAUCCAAAUGAGGCAUGGAGUCCCGCAUUUUUUGCAAUACAUAUGCCACAUAAUUGAGAUGAUCAAAAGGGUCUUGCAUAAGUUCCGUCAUUAGCAUCAAUCAAUAUUGUCGUUAUCAAACAAGCCAAUAACAGCUAACGAUUCAGUUAAAGAACUUUGGGAACACACGUACCUUGCACAAGAAUAUUUUCUUCAUACCAGAGACAGAACUCGGACGUUGUGAUGGAUCCUGUACUUCAGAACCGUUAGCUUUCCCUCUGUGAAGAGGUAUAAAUGAAAUGCCCACGUGACCAGCACCAGGCUGAAACCCUAAUUGAUCCCUCCUCCUCCUCUCACCGGUGCCAGCAGCCAUAGUUUCCGGAAGCUGUAAGCGCCACAAUCCAGCUGCCAGCUUCCUCGCAGACACCGCCCUCGUGAUUUUCCGUCGACCUUUACGAGCACAAGUCUCGAGCUUCUCCUCCAGCUCAUCUUCAUGCUCUUCAACUCGAACAUUUCUCUCUCUAUCUUCAAUCUUCCAUUUGAGAAAAGGCGUCUCCGGUCGGCUCCGCCUCCCAAGGGGAGUUCCGGUUCUCUUGGAACGGGUAAGACUUGGAUUCCGGGUCCUGCGUCGAGGCUUGAGAGAGGUUUUAAGAUCUGGAUGAGGCUGGGGGUUCUGAGCUUUGGAAGUAAUAUAGUUGGCCGGAAAUGUCGCCGUGGAAUGCGGUUUUGCGGUAAUCUUCAUUGUUGUAGCUUGCGACAACCAGCCAUUUAGCAAGCAGGAAAACAAAAGAAGAAACAAAACAGUAAGCUUUUAUAGAGAGAAAGAAACAGAGAGGUUUCGUUUUCGCUCGCAGUGAAGUGUGUGCGCGCAAUGAGGAAAGAUACAGAGAGAUAGAGAGGGGCGGUUGUCCACAGGGAUUUUUGCUUGGGAAAAC
rnacentral:misc_RNA from 1 species